rnacentral:rRNA from 1 species
UACGUAGGGUGCGAGCGUUAAUCGGAAUUACUGGGCGUAAAGCGUGCGCAGGCGGUUCUGCAAGUCAGAUGUGAAAUCCCCGGGCUUAACCUGGGAACUGCGUUUUGAAACUACGGAGCUAGAGUGCGGCAGAGGGGGGGUGGAAUUCCACGUGUAGCAGUGAAAUGCGUAGAUAUGUGGAGGAACACCGAUGGCGAAGGCAGCCCCCCUGGGCCGACACUGACGCUCAGGCACGAAAGCGUGGGGAGCAAACAGG